GUUGCAUCUAUAAUUAGGGUGGGUUUGAUUUAAAUAGCUAGUAAGACUAUAAUGUAAAUCACGGUUUCCUACGUUAAGAUUUAUUCUCUGGUAGUUUUUUAGAAUAACAUUUAACCGUCUCAUGCAAGUCCUUGUUGCAUUUUUUUCAGUUUUUGAACGCAUAUGUCUUACCCUUACAUAAGGAACUUCGUUUAAAUAAUCCCAAACUGAGUCUUUUACAGCGUGCUGCCAUAUAGUUUUUGUCAUUAACCCCUUUGUGACGAAUGACGGACCUGGUCAGUCAUGGAGGGAAAGCAGUUAACGCCAGAUGACAAACCGGGUCCGUCAUGUGCUAAUGUUGACCCCAGAUCACGGGGUUAACGCUCCUCCGGUCUGCCUCUGUAUUUGAGGCAGACGGGAGCACCUGAUUGGCUGUCCC